GACGAACGCUGGCGGCGUGCUUAACACAUGCAAGUCGAACGGAAAGGCCCUGCUUUUGUGGGGUGCUCGAGUGGCGAACGGGUGAGUAACACGUGAGUAACCUGCCCUUGACUUUGGGAUAACUUCAGGAAACUGGGGCUAAUACCGGAUAGGAGCUCCUGCUGCAUGGUGGGGGUUGGAAAGUUUCGGCGGUUGGGGAUGGACUCGCGGCUUAUCAGCUUGUUGGUGGGGUAGUGGCUUACCAAGGCUUUGACGGGUAGCCGGCCUGAGAGGGUGACCGGCCACAUUGGGACUGAGAUACGGCCCAGACUCCUACGGGAGGCAGCAGUGGGGAAUAUUGCUCAAUGGGCGGAAGCCUGAUGCAGCAACGCCGCGUGCGGGAUGACGGCCUUCGGGUUGUAAACCGCUUUCGCCUGUGACGAAGCGUGAGUGACGGUAAUGGGUAAAGAAGCACCGGCUAACUACGU
rnacentral:rRNA from 1 species